rnacentral:sRNA from 1 species
UAACGUCAACCUUUCGCAGUCCUUGUC